AGCAGCCGCGGUAAUUCCAGCUCCAAUAGCGUAUAUUAAAGUUGUUGCAGUUAAAAAGCUCGUAGUUGAAUUUCGGGAUCAAUAUGUUGGUCGUGCCUUGGUACGUACUAAUCUAUUGGUUUCUUCCUUCUGACGAACCAUGAUGUCAUUAAUUUGGUGUCUUGGGGAAUCAGGACUGUUACUUUGAAAAAUUAGAGUGUUUAAAGCAGGCUCACGCUUGAAUACAUUAGCAUGGAAUAAUGAAAUAGGACGUUUGAUUCUAUUUUGUUGGUUUCUAGGAUUGACGUAAUGAUUAAUAGGGAUAGUUGGGGGCAUUAGUAUUCAAUUGUCAGAGGUGAAAUUCUUGGAUUUAUUGAAGACUAACUACUGCGAAAGCAUUUGCCAAGGAUGUUUUCAUUAAUCAAGAACGAAAGUUAGGGGAUCGAAGACGAUCA
rnacentral:rRNA from 1 species